CUUGGAGUAGUUCAGCAGGCAGAACACCCGGCUGUCUCCGGGAGGGCGCCGGUUCGAGUUCUGCCUCCAAGU
rnacentral:tRNA from 1 species